GGGGGUGUAGCUCAGUGGUAGAGCACGUGCUUUUUGCAUGCAUGAGGCCCCGGGUUCGAUCCCCGGCACCUCCA